rnacentral:rRNA from 1 species
GAUGAACGCUGGCGGCGUGCCUAAUACAUGCAAGUCGAGCGAACAGACGAGGAGCUUGCUCCUCUGACGUUAGCGGUGGACGGGUGAGUAACACGUGGAUAGCCUACCUAUAAGACUGGGACAACUUCGGGAAACCGGAGCUAAUACCGGAUAACAUGUUGAACCGCAUGGUUCAACAGUGAAAGACGGUCUUGCUGUCACUUAUAGAUGGAUCCGCGCCGCAUUAGCUAGUUGGUAAGGUAACGGCUUACCAAGGCAACGAUGCGUAGCCGACCUGAGAGGGUGAUCGGCCACACUGGAACUGAGACACGGUCCAGACUCCUACGGGAGGCAGCAGUAGGGAAUCUUCCGCAAUGGGCGAAAGCCUGACGGAGCGACGCCGCGUGAGUGAAGAAGGUCUUCGGAUCGUAAAACUCUGUUAUUAGGGAAGAACAAAUGUGUAAGUAACUAUGCACGUCUUGACGGUACCUAAUCAGAAAGCCACGGCUAACUACGUGCCAGCCGCCGCGGUAA